GUGUGUUGGUGUGUUGGUGUGUGUUGGUGUGUUGGUGUGUGUUGGUGUGUUGGUGUGUGUUGGUGUGUGGGCAUUGAACAGGGAGCACACACUGGCUGACAGCUGCAGAUUCAGGAGGUUUUCACAGCAGCAGGAAGGAGAGUUUGGCUAAAGAGGCCGAGCUCUUCGCUGGAAUCUCUGGAAAAUUGAUCUGCCCCUUGUUUUCCUGCCUGACAGUCGACCGUGUGGGCACAGUGAUCCAGAAGGCGGUCACCACGGCAACAAGGCUGAAGGAAACAGAGAGCGGGAAGAAGAAGAAGAGGAGGAGGAGGAGGAGGAAGAACAGCAAACAGGGAUGAUCCAUCACUGCCAGAACCUCACAGAAAAUUGAUUAAUUUGAAGAACCUUCAGGUCUGAGCAGACUGAUGUUCAGCUUCUUCAGGGAUGGACCAACAUGGAGGAGGCUGGGUCAUGGUAUGGGCUUGGAUGUGAAAGGAUUUAGGACCCAGGAAAGAGACGAUGAUGCUGGACUGGAAGAGCCAACGAUGGCUUCCAGAAACUCCUGCAAGCUUCCAGCUUUGUGUUCCACUCAUGGAGCCAGUCUAGAAGAAGGAACGUUUUUGUGAAACAGCAGGACUAGACUGGAGCCUUAGUCACGGCUCCAUCUUCAUGGAUCCCAGCUUCCUGAAGAAGCUCCCUAACUGGGACCAUGGCAGGUGGAGCUGAAGGAGGAGCGACUGUCAGCAGCUCCAGUUUCACUCCUUUGAUCCGAGCGUCUCAGCUUCACACACAUUACAGCGACGCCACAGACCUGCAGGGACGGCUUAAAAAAGCCAGAGUGUCUCUGAGGUCAGACCAGGAUGGAAA